rnacentral:rRNA from 1 species
UACGUAGGGUGCAAGCGUUAAUCGGAAUUACUGGGCGUAAAGCGUGCGCAGGCGGCUUUGCAAGACAGAUGUGAAAUCCCCGGGCUUAACCUGGGAACUGCAUUUGUGACUGCAUGGCUAGAGUGCGGCAGAGGGGGAUGGAAUUCCGCGUGUAGCAGUGAAAUGCGUAGAUAUGCGGAGGAACACCGAUGGCGAAGGCAAUCCCCUGGGCAUGCACUGACGCUCAGGCGCGAAAGCGUGGGUAGCAAACAGG